UACAGAGGUCUCAAGCGUUGUUCGGAUUCAUUGGGCGUAAAGGGUGCGUAGGUGGCGGGGCAAGUCUGGUGUGAAAUCUCGGAGCUCAACUCCGAAACUGCACUGGAUACUGCCUUGCUCGAGUACUGGAGAGGAGAUUGGAAUUUACGGUGUAGCAGUGAAAUGCGUAGAUAUCGUAAGGAAGACCAGUGGCGAAGGCGAAUCUCUGGACAGUUACUGGCACUGAGACACGAAGGCCAGGGGAGCAAACGGG
rnacentral:rRNA from 1 species